GUGAAAUAUAUUCUGAAAAAGGCAUAUUAAUGUAUUUCAUGAGCUUCUUCAGUAAAUCUGUAUUUCUAAGUCAGUAACGUUAUCUCCCUUCAGAAAUGUGGCUGAAGGGAUAUACUGACUUAGAAAUACAGGUGAACUCAUGAAAGAAGCUCAUGAAAUACUCAUGAAAGAAGCUCAUGAAAUACAUUAAUAUGCCUUUUUCAGAAUAUAUUUAACUAAUUUUAAGAAGUCCCUGACAUCAAAACAUGCACUGAUCUAUUAUAGAUCAGUGGUCAGAUGGCUUAUUUUGUUCCUGGACUCUUCAGUGAUGAUGAGCAGAGUCUGAGUGAACCUGCUGUCAGACAAUCACUAUUGCACACCAAAUGCUCUUAGUCAGCAGAUGGGGACAGCUACCAUCACCCAAUUUUCACCCAAAAGUGGCUGCGCUAUGCGCCAGACUGGGGCAGGAGGGAAUGGACGACAACUUAUGCAGGCA